rnacentral:rRNA from 1 species
AUGUCCGUCGCGGCCGCGGCCGCCUCCCUCGUCGCCUCCUCUUCGCUCUCCGUUCCCGACCACCUCCGCCUCCGCCGCCCCCCGCCACCGCUCCGCUUCCGCCGCCGAUCAAAGGACCGCCUCGUUCUUGCUGUUCUCGAGGAGAAAUCCUCCUCUGCGUUUACUGAGGAGGAAGCCAGGAAGUUCGGGCUCAACGGGAGCGCGAGCAGGCUCGGGUACGACGAUGCCGCGGUGGAGGCGUACCUCGGGUCCAACGGCAACGGAAACAGCAACAGCAACAGGAGUGCGAGUGGGAGUGGGAACGGCGCGAGCGUGAAGCCCGUGCCAUCCGGGUCUGGCACUUCUGUGGUAUCCGGCCGUGGGCCGGGUGAGGAUGAGAGGAGGAAGGAGAGAGUGGAGGAGAUAGGCAGGGAGGACGCAUGGUUUAAGCGAAGCGACGGAGAGGCCAUGCCCAAGGUGUCUGUUGUUCCUGGUGGUCGUUGGAAUCGGUUUAAAACCUAUUCAACGAUUCAAAGAACCUUGGAGAUAUGGGGCUCUGUCUUCGCAUUUAUAUUCAAGGUUUGGCUCAACAACCAGAAGUUCACUUAUCGAGGGGGGAUGACGGAAGAGAAAAGGGUAAUGAGGAGGAAAGUUCUUGCCAAGUGGCUCAAGGAGAGUAUUUUGAGAUUAGGCCCCACAUUUAUUAAAAUAGGACAGCAAUUCUCCACCAGGGUGGAUAUUCUUCCAAAAGAAUAUGUGGAUCAAUUAUCUGAAUUGCAGGAUCAGGUCCCUCCAUUCCCUUCAGAGACAGCUGUGUCAACUAUUGAAGAAGAGCUGGGAGCAUCUGUAAAUGAGAUAUUUGAACGAUUUGACGUUGAACCAUUAGCUGCUGCUAGCCUCGGCCAGGUUCAUCGGGCAAGCCUAAAUGGCCAAGAAGUUGUACUCAAGGUGCAAAGGCCUGGUCUGAAAGAGCUGUUUGAUAUUGAUCUGAAGAAUUUAAGGGUAAUAGCAGAAUACCUUCAGAAAGUGGAUCCCAAGUCAGAUGGUGCCAAGAGAGACUGGGUUGCUAUUUAUGAUGAAUGUGCAAAUGUAUUAUAUCAGGAAAUAGACUAUACCAAAGAAGCAUUUAAUGCUGAAAAGUUUGCUGAAAACUUCAAAAAUAUGGAUUAUGUGAAGGUUCCAGAAAUUUACUGGGAGUAUACUACACCUCAGGUUCUAACAAUGGAGUAUGUCCCAGGAAUCAAAAUAAAUAGGAUACAGCAGAUAGAUAAGUUAGGGCUUGAUCGGAAAAGGUUAGGCCGGUAUGCUGUUGAGUCCUACCUUGAGCAGAUUUUAUCGCAUGGAUUUUUCCACGCCGACCCGCAUCCAGGGAACAUUGCUGUUGAUGAUGCCAAUGGUGGGAGGCUUAUCUUCUAUGACUUUGGGAUGAUGGGAAGUAUUAGCCCAAAUAUCCGCGAAGGACUGCUUGAAGUAUUUUAUGGAGUUUAUGAAAAAGAUCCUGAUAAAGUGCUUCAAGCAAUGGUUCAAAUGGGUGUCCUUGUUCCUACUGGAGAUAUGACAGCCGUCAGAAGAACAGCUCAAUUUUUCCUGGAUAGCUUUGAAGAGCGUCUAGCUGCACAAAGGAAAGAGAGAGAGAUGGCAACCGUGGAACCUGGAUUUAAAAAACAAUUAUCUAAGGAGGAAAAGUUUGAAAAGAAGAAGCAGAGACUUGCAGCUAUCGGAGAGGAUCUUUUGGCAAUUGCUGCUGAUCAACCAUUUCGGUUUCCUGCCACCUUUACAUUUGUGGUCAGAGCAUUCUCAGUACUGGAUGGUAUUGGGAAAGGUUUAGAUCCUAGAUUUGAUAUUACAGAGAUUGCUAAGCCUUAUGCCAUGGAGUUGCUCAGAUUUAAUGAAGCUGGUGUUGAAGUACUUGUUAAGGAUGCAAGGAAGCGAUGGGACAGGCAAUCUCGUGCAUUCUACAAUGUGUUCCGUCAACCUGACAGAGUUGAAAAACUUGCACAGAUUAUUGAGCGUUUGGAGCAAGGUGAUCUCAAGCUUCGUGUCAGAGCAUUAGAAUCAGAAAGAUCGUUUCAAAGAGUUGCCGCUGUACAGAAAACAAUUGGAUAUGGAGUGGCUGCCGGGAGUUUGGUAAACCUCGCUACCAUUCUGCACCUCAAUUCGAUCCGGAUGCCAGCAACCAUCGGAUACUGUCUUUGUGCGUUCUUUGGGCUACAAAUCCUGCUUGGCGUUCUCAAGGUGAAGAAGCUGGACCAACAAGAGAGAUUGAUAACCGGCACUGCCUGA